CAUAUGAGGUGUUUCCACGAUCGUUGGAAAAAUACCAACUGGAGGUGGUGAUAACGGAAGCAGCUGGAGAGUACAGAGGAGAGGGCUGGGUAAAACGGAGAGUCGUCCUAUCUAUACACUUCAAGGCAAGACUGGUUGCAUUGAAGUUGCUGAGGCGACUGCGCCAAACACCGACGUUGUACUAUCAUCCCCUUUGGUUUAGUAGUGGGGCGGGCGUGGCGGCUUUUGCUUCAUCUGUUGCCCUAUUCUCACUUUUAACUAAUACACAUUGUUCACCUUUAUCUCCCCCCCCAUUUUUUUUUAUUCAAUUAUUUACCUUCUGUCCUUCUGUCCCCUGCCCACAUACAAUUUGGUCACUGUCCACUGUCUCCUGUCACCACCCAAUCAUUCAAUAAAAUAAUAUCCGCUUUUGCAACUUCAAUUGCAACUCCAGCUACAACUAUUGGGGAUUUUAUUAAUUUACAAUUCAUUUUAUUUCUCGUUUUUGCUUUUGCAUUCCUCAGAUGCUAAAGUUCUGGUUUUUAUUCUUUUGAUUUGGGAAUUAUUUUCAGUCUUAAGUAAUGUAGUUUUUUAUUUAAUUAUUCAUCUUCCUCACUCCUCCCUGAAAUACGAUGCGCUUUGCCAGCUGCAACUAGAAAUAUUGCAGAUUCUAUCAAUUUAAAAUUCAUUUUCUCUCUCGAGUGUUAGAAUUACAAAUCUUUAUUUCAGGAAUUCAAUUGUCUCCGUAUUGGUUUCGUCUGCUACCCUUUUGUCACUGUUAAAUAAUAUAUUGUUCACCUUCA